UUAGACAAAGACAACAAUAAAAAUAAACAAAUAUAACAAUACUAAUUAAAAUAAGUUUAAAAGAUUUAAAUCGAAUAUAAUAUGAAAUUUCGUGAUCAGAUAAAUAAUAUCAUCGAUAUUUAUUCACUAAAUCUUCCAGAUAAUGCAAAUCUUUUUCGUUUACAACCUAAAGAAGCCAACCGUUUGAUAUCGACAACACUCUUCUCUUUCAAAAACAGACUAAUUUAUCAUUACAACAAAUAAAAUGUACCCUUUGUUGUAUCGAAGAUAUGUUUGGAAAUACUGGAGUUCGAUGCUCAAAAAUGGAAUGUUGUAAAGGGAUGAAAAAAACUCUUACUGGUUUAUACGGACAAGAUACGUACAUUUUCUUAUAACACUUAAAAAAUGGCUAGAAUACACUAACAAAACUUAUAUAUUUUAGGUAUAAGUUAGUAGAAGAUACAGAGGUGACUUUAACAAAUUUACAGCAAGGAUUGGACAAGAUUUGAGGCCGAAUUCAGAAAAGUUCUGUAGCUAGUCCUGGUACCAAGAUAUAACAAAUUGUUGUAACUUAUUGGUUUGCAAAAGUUGGAAGAAAUUGAACUUAAUACUGAACGAGUCAAAGCUAAGCUAAAUGAGAGAUGGUGGCUCAAGUUUUUGAUAUAUUCCAUAUUUGAAUGACCGCAGGGAAACUGUCUCAGGACUUCCAAUCCAUCGCUUACAUUUGCUGAUAUUACUAAGAAUUUAGCUAGCAAAUACUUGGAUGCAGUUGAACAAGAUAGAGAGAGGUAUACAAAAGAAUACGAAGCAUAUAAACAGGCUGAUGAGGCAUACAAACAAUUUAACCAACUCCAGAAUGAGAAAAGACUCAAAGAUAACAAGGAAAAAGAGAAAGAUGUUAAAAUUAUAGUUUCUAAAGUUGUUGCUUAGAUACAUAUUUAAUAAAUAAUUAAUUAAAACAAUAA